GACGUAGGGGGCGAGCGUUUGUCCGGAUUCACUGGGCGUAAAGCGCGCGUAGGCGGCUCGUUAAGUCGGAUGUGAAAACCCGGGGCUCAACCCCGGGCCUGCACCCGAUACUGGCGAGCUGGAGGCAGGUAGGGGAGAUCGGAAUUCCCGGUGUAGCGGUGAAAUGCGCAGAUAUCGGGAGGAACACCGGUGGCGAAGGCGGAUCUCUGGGCCUGUCCUGACGCUCAGGCGCGAAAGCUAAGGGAGCAAACAGGG
rnacentral:rRNA from 1 species